rnacentral:lncRNA from 1 species
GCAGGAUGGACGCGUUGGCUGUCAUGAUGUAGGACCUCCUGACCUAGAACCAUGCCCGGCGCAGGGAGAACAACGAGCUUACGGACCGGGUGCGGGGGCUGCUGUGCGAGAAAGCCUACCUGCUGGCCCGGGAGCGUUCGCCGGCCCACCUGGUGGCUUUCCCUGGACGUUUAACGGCGACUCCGCCCGGCCUCCCGACUUUUUGAUGCAGGCGUUCUCUUACAUGACUUUCUUCGAGGCUAGAUUCUCGAAAGACAUCCUGAAGGUGGCUUUCUUAAUUAGCUGCCUCACCGGCUGGCGGAGCAGUUCGUAGUCGCCUACAUCGAGAGGGAGAGCCCCGUCCUGGCUCAGUACUGGGGCUUCGUGGACGCGCUGUAGCGGGUCUUCGCCGUCGUGGGUAGGAAACAGUCGGGCCGGAUCCCCGGUGUCUGGGGAGCGGCUGCCGGCCGGGCCCGCGCGAGCCGCUUCACUCCUACAAGCCCGGCUCACUAGUUCCAAGCUGCUGGACUUUGACCCUCGCUGGGAAGCUUGAUCGCCGCCUGUUCUCGCCAAUCUCUAUGCCUUUGCACUGCCCAGCAACCCGGUCACUGCCCAGGACCUGUUAAAAGUUGAAUGGACCUCCCAGAAUCACGCCGCUGCCACCGCCGUUUCUAGAGACGGCUUUUGGCCACCUUUGAGAAUCAGGGUCAAACUUGGAAGGGCCUGCAUUUGUCACACUUCCUCGGACACUAAUUUGGAUAGUUCAGGCCCAGAGACGGCUUCCCGGCAAUGCCAGUUUGCGCCUUUUGGUCUGAGGAACGCAGGCCCUGGCCACUACCAGGAAAAAGUAUUUACUUUUAAAACUUGAAUGUAUAUCUUUACCGUAUGCCUAGUACAGUAGUGCUUGGAAGAAACAGAUUAGUAAGACAAAAUAUAUGUCUUCAAGAACACUUACGUUCUGAGAAAGAAUUCUGAAUGCAGAUUCUAAUGUCUGAUCCUUUGCACAUGGCCUGCUAUCAACAAUCCUCUACAAUGAUUCUCAGCAUCACCUAGGGAGCUUAUGUAAAAUCUCAAAUUCCUGGGCCCUAUCCCCAGAGUUUCUUAUCAAUUUCCUUGAUGGAGAACUAUCAAAGCAGUCAAAGCUAUCAAAAUAAAAAAGAAUUCUGAUUGGGUGCAGUGGCUCACACCUGUCAUUCCAGCACUUUGAGAGGCCAAGGUGGGCAGAUCACAUGAGGCCAGGAGUUCAAGACCAGCCUGGCCAACAUGGCAGAAACCCCAUCUCUACUAAAAAUACCAAAAUUAGCCGGGCAUGGUGGAACACACCUGCAAUCCCAGCUACUCGGGAGGCUGAGGCAAGAGAAUCGCUUGAACCUGGGAGGCAGAAGUUGCAGUGAAACAAGUUGGUGCCAAUGCAUUCCAGCCUGGA